UACGUAGGGUGCAAGCGUUUGUCCGGAAUUAUUGGGCGUAAAGGCGCGUAGGCGGCCUGCUAAGUCGGAUGUGAAAUCCCUCGGCUCAACCGAGGAACUGCAUCCGAUACUGGCGGGCUUGAAUCCGGGAGAGGGAUGUGGAAUUCCAGGUGUAGCGGUGAAAUGCGUAGAUAUCUGGAGGAACACCGGUGGCGAAGGCGGCAUCCUGGACCGGUAUUGACGCUGAGGCGCGAAAGCUAGGGGAGCAAACGGG
rnacentral:rRNA from 1 species